rnacentral:snRNA from 1 species
AGAUGUGAGGGCUCAGUGUCUGCAAUAUCUGUCACCCCCUGGACCACCAGUCCAGGACGGACACAGGUGAACUGGCUGGUCAGGCAGGAGUCCCCUUCACCUGUCACUCCUUCCAUGAACGUCCUCCUGAAGCCAGGCACUUGGUCAAUGAGGAUGACCUUCCUCCAAUCACAUGUUUAAGAGUAUUGUGCUCCCCUGCUACAGAACCCAAUCAAGCUUUCAAGAAGUGACAGAUGAUUUGUUUAUUAUUUCUGUGUGAGAGAGAAAGAGACAGAUAGAGAGAGAGAGAAUGGGCAUGCCAGGGCCUCUAACCACUGCAAAUGAACUCCAGAUGCAUGUACCA